AUAUUUUCAAACUUGUGUCAUUUUUGAACCUGACCAAAACAAUUUCAAAUAAGGAUAUCUUUGGCAUAGAGGUUUAGGGCAAGGAGCAAGAUUAACAGGGAGAAGAUGAACAUUAUUUGAGGAAGAAAAAUAGCACUUGAAUAAGAGAGGGAAAAGGAGGAGAAGUGAGGGUGCCAUGGUUGGAAGGGGGGGGACAAGGUUAUGCCCAUGAUGCUCAUGGAAACAACAUGAAUGACAAUAUGCAACAUGAGAUGACAUGAGAUGAAGAUGCACUACAUAAAGAGGAUGAGUGCAAAAUGACAAGAGGCACAAAUGCAAUAUGGUAAGAUGAGCAUGACAAAGAAAAGAAUAAAACCACAUAACCAAACAAGAUGAGGCCAAACAUGAUAAAACCCACAAGAAUUUGGAUGAAGGUCAAGUUGAUACAUUGCCAAAAUGGGACAUGAUACAUCUGGGGUGUUACAACUCUCCUCCACUACAAGAGGAUCUCGUCCCGUGAUCUAGGACUGAAAGAACUCCGGAUAUUCGGAACGUAGGUGAUCCUCGCGCUCCCAGGUGGCUUCUCGGUCAGAAUGGUGUGACCACUUUACUUUCAGGAAUUUGAUUGACUUGUUGCGAGUCUUGCGCUCGGUUUCUUCAAGAAUAGCAACGGGGUGCUCAUGAUAAGAAAGAUCUUGUUGGAGGUCAAUUUCUUCAAAGUUGAUAGUGCGCUCAGGAAUCUUGAAGCACUUGCGGAGCUGUGACACGUGAAACACAUCGUGCACGUUUGCAAAGUUGGAUGGAAGCUCAAGUUGAUAGGCGAGAUCGCCUCUUUUGCCAAUGAUCUUGAAAGGACCCACGUAUCUAGGGGCAAGCUUCCCUUUGAUACCGAAGCAACGAGUACCUUUCAUUGGAGAGACGCGGAGGUAGACAUGGUCUCCGAUUUCAAAAGCCACAUCACGGUGCUUGUCAUCAUAAUAGCCCUUCUGGCGCGAUUGCGCGGCUUUAAGAU
rnacentral:lncRNA from 1 species